AUUUGUAAAUAUUGUAAGGCGUUAAAAUACACUGGUGAAUCUGCGGGAUUAUGUUGUGCUGGAGGCAAAGUAAAAUUGCCACAAUUGGUCCUACCACCAGAUCCUUUACGCUCUUUAGAGAGGAUGUCUUGAUCCCGCGAAUACCGAUGAUUCCAACAGAUUUACCAUCCGAUUUUAAACGCUUACAAUUUCUAGUACGUCUGGCCUUUGCGAUGACAAUAAAUAAAUCGCAAGGACAGUCUUUAGAAGUUUGCGGAAUCAACUUGGAGUUUCCCUGUUUCGCGCAUGGACAAUUAUACGUCGCGUGUUCGCGCGUCGGAAAACCCUCUUCUUUG
rnacentral:misc_RNA from 1 species